UACGUAGGGUGCAAGCAUUGUCCGGAUUUAUUGGGCGUAAAGAGCUCGUAGGCGGCUUGUCACGUCGGGUGUGAAAACUCGGGGCUCAACCCCGAGCCUGCACUCGAUACGGGCUAGCUAGAGUGUUGCAGGGGAGACUGGAAUUCCUGGUGUAGCGGUGAAAUGCGCAGAUAUCGGGAAGAACACCCGUGGCGAAGGCGGCUCUCUGGGACGGUACUGACGCUGAGACGCGAAAGCGUGGGGAGCGAACAGG
rnacentral:rRNA from 1 species